rnacentral:lncRNA from 1 species
UCACCCUCUUCCAAAAAAUGUAUUGUCGACACACAAAAGGUGUGUUUGGUUUGAAGUCGGAAUCAGUAUCAGAAUCGAGAAUAAGCUGGAAAUGGAAUUGGAUUGAUUCACUAAUAUUUCAUUAUGUUUGGUUCACCAUCUAAAUCGAAAUCGGAAUGAACCAUUCCUAUUGUCGAUGUUUGGUUUAGAUAGAUAUCAGAAACGUAAUCAAAUUAAUAUGUCAAUUUUAUCUUUAUAAUAUAUUAGUUUAAAUUCAAACUAAAAAUUAAAUAUUAAAAAUUUACAUCCAAAUUUUAAAAUGAUGUCAAAAUUUUAAAUAUAUGUUUUAAAAAAUUAAAAUUUGAAAUUGAAUGGAUAAUUCAAAAAUAUAAAACUAAGUUUCGAUUUAUUCAAAUUCAAAUUUAAAAUUAAAAUUUCAAUUUCAAUUUGAAUCAGUAAAUUUAAUUUAAAUUUUAAAUAAAAUUUGAAUAAAACUUUAGAUUUUAAAUUAAAUUUAAAUUUAAAUUUAUAAAUUAAAUUCGAAAUGCUUGAUUGAAUUUUUAAUUUUUAAUUUAAGUUCAAAUUAAAAUUAAAAUUUAUAAUAUAAUUUUUAAAUUUAAACUUAUGUUUUAAUUAAAAAAUAUGUUUAAAAAAGUUAAAUUUAAUUCGAACAAAUUUAUUCCGCCUAGAUUCAAAUUUCAAUCCGGCCUCCUAGACCAGAUUGGAAAAAGAGGUUAAUUGGAGGGAUUCCUAUUCACCCGGGAAUCGAAAUCUGAAUGAGAAUCUCGCAUACCAAACACGAAUAAUCGAAUUUGUCCAUUCCGAUUCCGAUUCCAGGAUGAAAAAGAGGCGAACCAAAUACGUCAUGAGAUUCUCCCCGCUAGAAUUUCCGUAUCUGCUAUGAUAUAAAUUAUUAAGGUUAAGACUUAACAAUCUUACCAACUGCCUCUAAAGUAGCUACAGCGCAAAUGAUAAAAAACUUAAUAGUUGGAACUCGAAAUUUCAAAUUUGAAAUCUAAUUAUUUUAUUCUUACGAUUAAUUUUUUUUAAAUAAAUGAAGUAGAUAAUAUAUUACCUUUCUGAUCUCUCUUAAAAAAGAUAAUUUUUAUCACUUUUAUUGGUGAUACGCUGAACAAUUAAUGAUCGUCUAGAUACUUGCUAACUCUCAAUUUUGUUACAACAUGGUGACGGUUGUAGAUUGUAAUAUUGGACAAGUAGUGUAUGCUUGAAAAUUUAGUCCCACAUGAAAAGUUGAAAGGUUUUUGUGGCCCUUAUGAGAUGAAGAAUUUAAUAAUAAUCAAAAUGGAAGCUAAAAAGUUAUUGGAGGGAGAUAUUAGAGAAAACUUGGUACUAAAUGACACUAGGCACUUUGGCAUUUAG